UUUUUAGAGAGACCUACACCCUUGUCCAGGGCACAGCACAGCACUAGCAGUGUACUCAUCAGUUCAGGCACUCAGCCUGUGGCCCUCACUGCCCUAGAGGAAACACAGGUCUUGGUCCUCAGUAUGGAUAAAGGAAUUGGGCCCUCGGGACUGCCCGGGACAUAAUGCUGAGAAGCUGGGACAGCCCCCAGGAGAACACGUCAGAUCAGUGACAGCGGCGAAGGUUCCUCUCUUCAUGUCAUAAACAUCUUUCCAUUACUUUCCUAUUUAAUGAACAUACUAGCCAUACAUACAGGACCUACCUGCCUCUAAUCCACAUGUAAAUGGAAGUUAGGUGGACUCCCAUGAAGACUGCUGACUAACGGAAGAAACAGCCACAAAGGUGAUCACAGCAGUUUUUGAAAAAUUCUCAUAAAGUGUUUUGCAAAUUCAUGCAAUUAUUUAAAUAAAUGUCACUCUGUUUUAAGUCUAAA